GGCUCAAUGGUCUAGUAGUAUGAUUCGCGCUUCGGGGUUUGUCCCAGUGAUUACGUAAUCAUUAAUCUGUGCGAGGUCCCGGGUUCAACUCCCGGUUGAGCCC
rnacentral:tRNA from 1 species